GACGAACGCUGGCGGCAGGCUUAACACAUGCAAGUCGAGCGGAAGUUGGAGAGCUUGCUCUUCAACUUUAGCGGCGGACGGGUGAGUAACACGUGGGCAACCUGCCCUGCAGAUCGGGAUAACUCCGGGAAACCGGUGCUAAUACCGAAUAGUUUUCGCCACCUCCUGGUGGCGUACGGAAAGACGGUUUCGGCUGUCACUGCAGGAUGGGCCCGCGGCGCAUUAGCUAGUUGGUGGGGUAACGGCCCACCAAGGCGACGAUGCGUAGCCGACCUGGGAGGGUGAUCGGCCACACUGGGACUGAGACACGGCCCAGACUCCUACGGGAGGCAGCAGGAGGGAAUCUUCCGCAAUGGACGAGAGUCUGACGGAGCAACGCCGCGUGAGUGACGAAGGUUUUCGGAUCGUAAAACUCUGUUGUGAGGGAAGAACAAGUACCACUUAUCUACUGGUACCUUGACGGUACCUCACCAGAAAGCCACGGCUAACUACGUGCCAGCCGCCGCGGUAAUAC
rnacentral:rRNA from 1 species